CAGUUGUUCGAGUAUCUCCAAGGUGGUUCUAGACUGAAUCGAAGAAAUGUUGUUCACACUCUCCUGGAGGGUGUCAAGUUUGAAGAUUAGUACAUUGGCUAGUCUCUCUGCACCCUGACUCUGGUUGCCUAGCUCAUGUUUGAUGCUAUCUCGCAUCUCCCUUGUGUCGUCCUUGACGUCACUUAUGUUCCAAUAUUGACCUUGAACUAGGCUUCGAAUGUUGAAUAUCUCCUCCUUCAGAUUUGCAACCAUCUCUGUCACGGCUGCUAAGGAGGGAACAAGCUCGGUGGAGGGAACACUCUGAGGACCUCGGAGCUCCCUCAGCAGAUCAUCUCUCAGAUCCCUCACUAUCUCC
rnacentral:lncRNA from 1 species